UGGUGAUUUGAGUCGCGCUUUCCAGCUGC
rnacentral:piRNA from 1 species